rnacentral:tRNA from 1 species
GGAUAUAGCGUAGCUGGUCCAACGCGCCAGAUUGUGGCUCUGGAGAGCAAGGGUUCGAAUCCCUUUAUC